UGAGGAAUAUUGGGCAAUGCCCGCAAGGGUGACCCAGCAACGCCGCGUGGAGGAUGAAUGUCGUAAGAUUGUAAACUCCUGUUAGAGGGGAAGAAUAGUACCGGUUGGACCGGUAUAUGACUGUACCCUCAGAGAAAGCCCCGGCUAACUACGUGCCAGCAGCCGCGGUAAUACGUAGGGGGCAAGCGUUGUCCGGAUUUACUGGGUGUAAAGGGCGCGUAGGCGGUCUGUUAAGUCCGAUGUUAAAUCCCGGGGCUCAACCCCGGAUAAGCGUUGGAUACUGGAAGGCUAGACGGUUGGAGAGGCGAGUGGAAUUACCAGUGUAGCGGUGGAAUGCGUAGAUACUGGUAGGAACACCCAUUGCGAAGGCAGCUCGCUGGACAACACGUGACGCUGAGGCGCGAAAGUGUGGGGAGCAAACC
rnacentral:rRNA from 1 species